UACGUAGGGUGCGAGCGUUUGUCCGGAAUUAUUGGGCGUAAAGGGCUCGUAGGCGGUCUGUCACGUCGGGAGUGAAAACACGGGGCUUAACCCCGUGCCUGCUUCCGAUACGGGCAGACUAGAGGUAUGCAGGGGAGAACGGAAUUCCUGGUGUAGCGGUGAAAUGCGCAGAUAAUCAGGAGGAACACCGGUGGCGAAGGCGGUUCUCUGGGCAUUACCUGACGCUGAGGAGCGAAAGUGUGGGGAGCGAACAGG
rnacentral:rRNA from 1 species